UAGGGAAUCUUCGGCAAUGGACGAAAGUCUGACCGAGCAACGCCGCGUGAGUGAAGAAGGUUUUCGGAUCGUAAAACUCUGUUGUUAGAGAAGAACAAGGACGUUAGUAACUGAACGUCCCCUGACGGUAUCUAACCAGAAAGCAACGGCUAACUACGUGCCAGCAGCCGCGGUAAUACGUAGGUGGCAAGCGUUGUCCGGAUUUAUUGGGCGUAAAGCGAGCGCAGGCGGUUUCUUAAGUCUGAUGUGAAAGCCCCCUGCUCAACCGGGGAGGGUCAUUGGAAACUGGGAGACUUGAGUGCAGAAGAGGAGAGUGGAAUUCCAUGUGUAGCGGUGAAAUGCGUAGAUAUAUGGAGGAACACCAGUGGCGAAGGCGGCUCACUGGUCUGUAACUGACGCUGAGGCUCGAAAGCGUGGGGAGCAAACAGG
rnacentral:rRNA from 1 species